UACGUAGGGAGCAAGCGUUGUUCGGAUUUACUGGGCGUAAAGGGCGCGUAGGCGGCAGAUUAAGUCAGCUGUGAAAUCUCCGAGCUUAACUCGGAACUGUCAGCUGAUACUGUUUUGCUAGAGUGCGGAAGGGGCAAUCGGAAUUCUUGGUGUAGCGGUGAAAUGCGUAGAUAUCAAGAGGAACACCUGAGGUGAAGACGGGUUGCUGGGCCGACACUGACGCUGAGUGCGCGAAAGCCAGGGGAGCAAACGGG
rnacentral:rRNA from 1 species